GUGGGGCGCUGAGGAGACACCCCCUCCCCCCAACCCGAGACGCGUUGCCGCCGCUACGCGGGCGCUCUGGCCCACUCGGGCCUCUGACUACCUCAGCCUGGUCCCCUGUCGCUUUUCUGUGGUGUCCCCUGCGCAUUCACGUUUCGCUGUCAACCCCAGCGCGCUCCCAAUACCCCGCGCACACGGGUGCACGCACGCUCAGCGUCUUUUGCACGGUGUGUACAGACUUAGCGUGCUCCUGCUGAAGGCCCCCCGCGCUGCACGUCAAAGCUGAGGCCCGACCUGCCCUCGCCUGGCCUCCCGCCCCGGCCCGGCGAACCCCCUGGCCACCUGUCCUCGCGCACGGAAGUGCGUCGCGGGAGGAAAAGCGCCUCCCUUCGGUCCCGGGAGGCAAACCGCCCCGCAGUUCACGAGAAAGAAAACCUUUCACCACAACCCUAGAAGCAGCUUCAAGGCGAGCUUUCAAAGCUGGAGAAGAAGCCAUUACACUUUUAAAAACUGAUGAAUACUGAGGCCCAAUCUGCAUGAGAUUUUGUAAAGCAAAGUCAUGCAGAUUUCUCAUUAUGGAAGUUGCUGAUCCCAGAGCAUUCUCAUCCAAAAGGAAGGAAAUGAGGAUGGGCAGAAGACAGGCCACCAGCUGAGAGCCUGGAAAGUGAACAAAUGAUUUUUUCCACAAUAGAGGAUACUAACGAGUAAAUGUAUGGGUACGAAACAGCUGGAUUUGGAUACUGAAAAAUGGAAAGCAGGAGCUGAUAGGUCUUGAUUUGUACCUAAUAAGAGCCACCACUUUGAGGCUGCUACAGAAAGCUCUUGUGAGGCCAGAAGCAAUAAACAGGACAGAAGAACAAAAGGAGAAGACUAUACAUCAAAGAUACAAAUCACCCUUUAUUUGAUUCACUGUGAUGAUAUCUGAAUGAUCAUUUUUGUAAACAGGUUGUUAAAAUUCUAAUUCUUCCAAGGAAUAGUAGUUUAGCUACUGACAAUAUCCAAGCUAACAUGAAGAGGUGAAUGAGAGGAUGUGAAGCCAUACCCACAGAUGUUUCACUUGUACUACACACAACAGAUUCUCAGAAUGACACAGACACAUAAGCAAUAAUUUAAAAAAUAAUGAUGUCGUGUGAUUAAUUUGGUGUAUGGGUUAACAUUCACCUUCUGCACUUCGUCUUUUCUCCUUCACAUGUUCUUGAGCUGCACAGAUAAUCUGCCUGACCACUUCAAGAGAAGCCAACUGAAUGGAAGGUGAUUCUCGGGUCAAAAUUACUCGAUGUAGUACAUUCAACAACUCGAUACCCAAGUCCUAUCACAGAAAAUAUUUGGGUGAGACCAUAUUGAAAAAUUGCAUACUUAAAAAAACACACACACACAAUGUUAUAUGCCAUGAAAAAAUUCAGAGAAAGAUAAUGUAACAGAUGGCUCACAAAAAAAUAAAGAUGUUAGGGCAGUAAAGUUAUGUAACACGUGCUCCACUUUAAACCAACUCCAGAUUGGACAAACAGGUUUUUGUCCAAUUUUCUGAGAGAUGGCACUAGGACAAAAGAUCACUUUCACACAUGUCCUAAACUGGGAAAACAAACAAGGAAAUUUCCAAAACAAGAUGAAAAAUGUGGCUAAAAGAAUACAAGGACUGCCAUGUAGAUUCCCAGAUUUAUAUUAAGAUUUCUAGUACUAAUAAAGAAUGAUGGCAAAGCAUGACAUUAAGAGGGUAAGUUAUGAAGCACAGAAUAAAUCUCUCGCUAAAGAAUAAAAUACACAAGCACUAUUUCAUUUUCCCCUUUUCUUUUGCAUUGGUUACUGUGGUGGCUUUCUUUCAUCUUUGAAAAUAAAGAGUAAAUCUAUCAUUAUAAUACUUGUUUUAACAUAUAGAAUAAACAAGAACAGAAAGUUUAAAAUGUAUUCAGGUACACUCCAAGUCAGGCAGGAACCUAAUACUUUAAACCUAAUAAAGAAUAGUGGUAGUAAGUUAAAUAAUAGUCUAUAUAGAAAGGAAAUUAUACCAUUCAUUUUUCUUAGCAUCUGAGAGCCAAUUUAAUACACAAUUCAAUAUACUGGUAAUACAUGAUGCUUAGGGUGCCUGCCCAAUACAGAGUUGCUCUUGGGAAAGCAGUUAAAGGAAGUGCCAUACUUUGUACAGUGAUCCUUUUACCAUGGUCACAACUGGGUCUGGUAUUAGUGUCUGACUCCACCUACAGGCUAGCCAGUCAUCUCUUAAAAAGACGUGAUGGAGAACUCAGCCAAAAGGAAUACUAUGUAAUCUACAGGAGCUACAUGAACCAAGACAACGCUCUCUUGGGGAAAUGAAGUGUAAGAUGCAGAUGUGUAUGAAGGGCAGGGUGCACGGAAGCAGAAAGAGACACGGACAGUACAACGCAGAACCUUCCCAUCAUUGCAGAAAGUUCAACCGGAAUGCUGCUACACAGAGUGGCUGGCUGGUGACAGCAGAAGAAGUUGGGAGGCAAAUUCGGAAGGCAAAGUUAAGAGAGCAAAAUCCUGAAGCGCAGAGAGCCAGAGCCUACUCAGUGUGCUGAGAUCUGCAUGGACUAAGUCAAGCAGCCCGUCUGAUGAACUCGACCCAUUUCUGACACUCUCUUCUGAACAGGCAGCAGUCUUCAAAGGUUGGUUGUGGGUUUUAUGUCUCUCUACAGCAAUUAUGUAGACCUGUAUAAAGGUACUUUAUAAAUAGGAAAAUCUUGUACCCACUGAAAAGAUGCGACAAUAUUUUUAUCUUGCUGAAGAUGCAGACUUAUCUUUGAACCUCCUGGACUUAAAAUGCAUCGUGAUACCAAGAAGGUAUACAUGUGGAGCCAGUCAUAUACACAAAACUAAGGUAGAAAAAUCCAAAAGUAUUAUCUCAUGAGAUACAUUAGGGAAAAUAAACAUUUGACAAAUACGCUGCCACUGUGAAGUUUACAAUUAUGACCGCUACAACUAAAUGAUCACAGUGUUCUUUUUCACUCGGCCUAGUUAUAGCCUUGUAACCCAUCUCAACAUAUGGCUCCAGAUGCCAUCUCUGAACUGAAAGAAGCUGAAAUACUGAGUAUUUUUUUCAAAUGUUACCACCAAAUCACUACAAAAAGUCUACCUAAACAGAUUUAACAUGGACCACUUACAGGACUAUAUAAUGUUAAAGUAUUCAACACAGCACAUAAUGUGUACUACCCCUUGAUUCAAAACUCUAUAAUCCAAAAAGCUCUGAAAACUGUAAGUUUGUGGGAAAUCAAUCUUGUGACAAAACUGAAUUAUGUGAGGCUAUUUAUAGUCUCUUUCCAACACAAUGUGACUAUUCAAACAUUUCACACAGACAUAUUAAUGUGUUUGAUUACAUUCUAUUAAACUGUCCCAGACAUCCUGGAUGGAUACGUGGAAUAUGCACUAUAACUUUCUGAAAAUCCCCCAAAUUUUGAAUUGCAAAUAUAUCUGGCUCCAAGGAUUUCAGAUACUUAUGGGCCUCAAGUACAUGGAACUUGUUGGUCAGUCAUUAUUUUUACUAAGGAUGGAAUAGGAGAAAUUAAUGGCUUAUGCAAGAGUACAGAGAUUCAAAUCAUAAAGGACACUAUGUAAAUAAAGCUAUUUAUAAAAUACGUUACAGAAAUUACAGAAUUUGUUUGCUCUACUUUUAGUAUAUAUUUAACACACUUAGAAUUCACUGUUAAAGAACAUUAGAUCCAACUUAUUAAAUCUAGGUAGAAAUACUUCCUGAGAUUGUCAACAUUAAAUAAUGACAAAAAUAGACACUCGACAAUCUUCUGGUUUUAAUCAGCUCUACUGAAGGAAAUCUUUUCUUACAUAGUGGUUAACUCUCUCAGUUGCAAUCUGAAACUAAAUACUUCUUUAAAGUGAUAUAUGAACCGAGAAUGGCCAAGUCUGGUGACUGCUAAAGCUGGAUGAUGGGUAUGUGGGUUCAUUAUAUACUAUUCUACUUCUGUAUAUGUGUAAACACUUCCAUUAUACAUUUUAAAAUUAUAUAACUUUCUUCCUGAUUAAAAACUAAGGAAAAGUUAAAUAUUUUCUUCUAAGAAUUUUUUUAAUCUUAGAAAAUAAAAUGACUGACUUAAUAAUCUAAAGUCAUCCUAUGAAAGAGCAUUAAAAAAUAUUAAAGUAUGUGUUAUAGAGUUGACAGAAUAUACAAGUAACCCCAUACUUCUAAUAAUUCAGGUUUCAAUAAAAGCUGAUUUCCAUUGACUAUUAUAAAGUCUCUCUGGCUCAUGACUGCUCCUGCUUAAAGCAAUAGGUAACAGACACUGGAGGACACUUUAGAAUGCUUGGCCAAAACAUCAAUUAAAAUAUAAAUAAAUCUCAUGUUGAAAGACUUCCAUUAACCUUAAACAUAGACUUAUUUGUGUUUCAAAUAGCUAAUUUCAGUUUAUGGUCUAAGUUAUUAACAACUUCCAAAAUUCUGGUCAUAAACUGAGAAGUACUAACCUCUGCCCAGGCUUUUAGCACAGCUAAGAUCUCCAUGGUAGAAGCACUUUCAUUAUAUAAGUGACUUAGAGCUUCUUUUCCAACCUGUAUUUUUGUUAAUGAUGAAACAAGCAACUGAUGAACUCUUCGGAGAUCAUUAAGGUCACUUACAACUCCACUUGCUAUCCAGGCACUGCAAACCUAGUUUUUAAGAAAGUCAAAAGUUAUAUUUAAAAUUAUAAAUAACCUCCUCGUGAGUUCAGCGGAGCUCACCCACAUCUCAGAAAUCUGGUCACUGAAAUCAUUUGCUAUCAAGAAGCCCAACGGGAUGUUGCUGAUAAUGACAGUCAACAGCCAGCACUUCAAAAGGGAAGGAAGACUAAAGGCUGAAAAAAUGAAACCAGUGCCAGCAAGUUUAUGAAUCAGAGUUCCAGAUGCUGCUAACAUGGAGAAAUGAAGCCAUUUUCAUGAAUGUUUGGAUUAACAUUUGAAUUAUAUAUCUCCAAUCUUGAUUAUUUCAUCUUAUUUUAAAAUCAGGGAUUAACUUGCAUGGUUCUUUCUUUGAAGAGAGAUAAAUUUACCUAACAUAUAAAACCUCAAUGAAGAUUGAUUCUUUUGAAGAUAUUUUUAAUUUUUAAAACAAAAGAUCAUUAAUAAUGCUCCAGUGCAAAAAAUUUACUCAAUUAACACAGGCUGUCUGUGGUUUUGCUGGGUGUUACCAUAUUUCUCCUUUACUAGAAAAAAUUAAUUUUUCCUCUUCCAUCUAUUGAUUUAAUUUUCCUCUCAUUUCACAAAAGUUUUCAAGUGGCUAACAGCAAGAACACAUAAUAAAAUGAUGAUAAAUUAGAUUCAGUACAACAGUUAGCACAGUUCUCUGAAUAUUUAAGAUAUUCAAACAUUUCCUAAACACAACUGAAUUAAAAAAAAUUGAAAGAACUGAGUUAAGAUUUUUCCAUUAUGUUUAUAAUUAUUUUAAUUCAUGCCAGUUCUGCUUUUAAUUAUUUCAGGCCAUUUGGGGCUGGAUAUUGAAUGUCUGACAACCACUCCAAGAAAAGCAACUACUUAAAACUGUAUUUUAUGUGGCUCUUAGAUAUAUGAAAAAAUGUUCAACUUCACUUGAAAUACAAAUCUAAACUAUCCUGAGAUCCUUUUUAUUCCAUCACAUACACAAAAAUUUCAGUUUGACAACUCACAAUGCUCCUGGGAUUCCGGGAAAAUAGGUACUUGCAUAUGGUGCUGGGAGGAGUUUAAAUUGAUAAACUCCAGUAAUGUACCCUUUAUCCCAGCAAUUCAGUUUUGAGGAGUGUAUCUCACAGAUGUGUUUGGACCCCUUGAAAUAACCUAUACAGAAAGAAGGUCAUUCACCACAGCACUAUUUGUAAUAACAAAAGAUGAAAACAUCUGUACUUCCAUUAUUAGGGAACUGGUGACGUACCCAUAUACCAGAUUACUGUGCAGUCAUAAGAAAGAGAAAGUUCUCUCAAUUUAAAAAGUAAAGGGAAAGAGGCAGCUGAGAUUAAUGCUUAGGCAACUAAAAUGUAAAACCUUGGUAUCAAAUACUAACUGUAGAGUUACUUCCUAAGAGAGGGUUUUACUUCUUAAAAUUCAUCUUUUUAACCAUUUACCUGACAUGCUUUGGCAGUGACAUCAGGUGGCGUCUCUGAAGUGAAGGCAGGUCUAAGUGCCGCUCCUACCUGGCAAGAAAUUACACGCUCAUUCAAGCAUCAAUAAGAUGUGAUGGAGCCUGCUAACCAACUGGUGAACUGCUCUGGACGCCCUAACUGCCAGCCACCAGAAGCUGCCUCUGAAUAAUAAUGAGAGGCAUCCUUGGAUGAAUGCUGCUGAAGAUUACAUGUGAUGCGUAUAAUGUAAUGUGGGAUGAUUUUGUUAUCUUCCUUGUUCCUCCUACAUUGCUCAAUGCACCAGUCAAAAUACCAGUUAAAAAGAUUACAGAAUGAGUUAACAGAAAUCUGAAUUCUUUCUAAGUCCAGAAAAAAAAAAGGUUAUAUAUUCUAGCAGUAAUAAUUUGAAGAUAAAACAUGCAUGUAGCCUAAAUGGAGUGUUUAUUAAUGAUUUAGUGUUAUCUUAAGCUUAUUUAGCUAUCUUGUAAGGAAUUUCAUUACCAAAGUCCUUUACUGCCCCAAAUUAUCAAGAAGGUUUUAAUUAUGAAAAUAAACCUUUAGCAUUAUAAAAGACCUCUUUUAUGUGUUAUUUUGUGUUUACUUGAAGAUUUCUUCUUUAAAUAUAUACUGAUUAUACUGGUGAUAUAUUAGCAAGAGAUACACACUCAUUAAUGUAUUAAGAGGUGACAUGCCAA